UACGUAGGUGGCAAGCGUUGUCCGGAAUUAUGGGGCGUAAAGCGCGCGCAGGCGGUCCUUUAAGUCUGAUGUGAAAGCCCACGGCUCAACCGUGGAGGGUCAUUGGAAACUGGGGGACUUGAGUGCAGAAGAGGAGAGUGGAAUUCCACGUGUAGCGGUGAAAUUCGUAGAUAUCGGGAGGAACACCAGUGGCGAAGGCGGCGACCUGGCCAAUCACUGACACUGAGACGCGAAAGCGUGGGGAGCAAACAGG
rnacentral:rRNA from 1 species